rnacentral:lncRNA from 1 species
UUUUUUUUUUUUUUUUGCCAAAAUCUUUUAAAUGAAGCCAUUGAUUCCCAGUUCUUAGUAAUAUGACCUGCCCCGGAUGAGCUGCACUGGAAAUGUUGUGCAGGCUUGCCACUCUUUCUGUGCAAGCCUGAAGGUACUUUCUGUGCAGGCCUGGAAGCACUUCUUUCUGAGGCCUGAUAGCACUUCCUCUUUAAGGCCUCAUGGCACUUCCUCUGCGAUUUUAGUGCAUAGGAAGCAAAAUGGCACAUGUGCAAUUUCUUUAAGGCUUUUAAGCCGUAUAAUAGAGUUGGUGUUGAGAGUGUGAGUUGCCUUAUUUGCAGAUAUCCUAUGGCUAAGCCUGCCUGCUCAGACUUCAGGUUUGCAAGCAUAGAGGGAUUAUGGAUUUGAAAACACUAGAUGCCACUAAAGUUACUUGGAGUCAUCUCAAAGGUCAGGUUCUAUGGGCAGCAAAGAAUAGUUGUGUACAGUGAACGGGUAUGUGUUUGCCAUUUGCUGGAGUUGCCCAUAUGUUUGGAGUGUGUGUGACUAACCCUUACUAUUUAAAGAUGUGAAGACUUGAUUGGAAGCACGCUGAGUGUGGUGUGCCCACAGUGGCCAGUCCAAUCACUAUUUCAUCAUCCAGAGGCUUAGAUAAUGAUGCUAUGAUGUAUGCACGUGGAGAUGAUGAGACACUUUUUCUGCGUGGAAGGAUGUACCAGAUUAAAUUUAUCUGUUGAAAAGACAAAAGUUAUCACCAGAAUCCCCUUUCCAUCUUCCCAUCUUAUACUGUUUGCUUUUGAUGAGGCUUGGGGGA